CAGUGUGAAAAAUGGAGGGAAACAAGCAGAUAAUAUUGAAAGACUACGUGAAGGGUUUGAUUCUGAAAACCUCAGAAAUCGAACGGAAUAUUCCCAACGGUGCCUUUUUGGUGAAGAAUCACUAUUUAUCUUGCGAUCUCGCCUGCUGAAGAUGGAGCGCAGUUAUAUUGACUCUUUUACCCUCGGUGAGGUUAUUGAGGGGUAUGGAGUUGCCAAAUUAGUGGAUUCAUCGAAUCAAAAAUUCAAGAAACACCAAAAAAGAUGUGAUCAACAUUUUAUCAAAGUUACUAGAGACUAUGUAGCCCGCAACCCAUGGACUAGUCCGAAUAGCCCGCUAAAUUUAUAGGGUUAAAGUUGAAGGUUGUCAGAGGCUAGGCUGGGCAGGAACAAGAGCUUCACGAAGAGGUAGGGUAUGUUGACUUUUAGUUGAACUUUGGGAUGCUGUUUUUACCUUCUCUUGUGGCUUUGUUAUGGGUUUUGGCUUGAUGAGGGGAUGGUUGGUCUGUUACUUUGAUGGGACUACUUUUUUAGGUUGUUUUUUUUUGUUUGUUUUGGAUCCUUUUUCUUAGAGGUAGGGGGUUUCGUUUUUUGGUGGCUUUGCCUUUUGACUUGCCUUUUUGUAGCUCGCCGUUUUGUGGCUUGAGUGUUUGCUUAUCAUAAAAAAAAUAGGAUUAGAGUUGAAAAUUCUAGUUCGAUUAACCCACACCUAGUAGCGGAGCCACGAGUGAACAAGAGGUACCACUGUACCGAAAACUUGUCGUCAUAAGGUUAUUAGAUAUAGCUAGCAAUAAUUACCAGACUUGGCCUAGCGGUAUUUUCCUAUACUUACACAGCAAAGAGCCAAGAUUGAAUCUCCUCAACGCCGCUCGCCAUUUGCUGUUUUUCUUUUGUUUAUUUUUGUGUUUUAUUAAAUCUUAUGCAUAAUUUUAAAUAUUUUAAUGCAUUUGAAAGUUGAAACCUACACAAUUCACAUAUAUAUUUAUUUUUUCUGUUUUUUCAAUAGCUGCAUCAUUUUAGCUUUUUUAAAAUAUUUCAAUACAUUUGAAACCUACACAAUUAGCACAUAUAUUUAUUCUUUCUGUUUUCAAAUCCUUCAAAGAAUUUUUUUCAUAUGUUCAUCAUUUUAGGUUUUUUAAAAAAAUAUUCUAAUGUAUUUUAAUUCCAUAUAAUUCCAUAUAUAUCAAUUGGUCAUAAUAUAUAUCUUUCCAAUUCUCUUUGCACAUUUUUCUAAUAACAAACAUAAAAUCAUAAAUUUUGAUUGAGAAACAAAUAAAAGAAAAUAAAAAGAAUUGGUUAGAUUUUGAAGCUUCGAAGUGCUGUAAUAAUUUAUUGUACCCCAAAUGAGAAAUUCUGGAUCUGCCACUGCCCGCACCCGAUUAACCCGUAACCAGUUAAGGUCAGACCCGAAAACUAAAGGGCUGGCCUGAUUUGUUUGACUCCUAAUUCAACACUUCAUUGAUUAUUUUAUAAUAUAAACAACUAAAAAAAUGACUUUUAAUUUUAUAUUAAAUAUAUAAAUUAUAUACUAAAUUUUAUUACUAUAAUAAUAGAUAA